rnacentral:rRNA from 1 species
UACGUAGGGGGCAAGCGGUGUUCGGCUUUACUGGGCGUAAAGGGCGCGUAGGCGGCGCGUAAAGUCGGACAUGAAAUCAUUAGGAUCAACCUAAUGGCUGUGUCCGAUACUUACGUGCUUGGAGUGCGGGAGAGGCAGCCGGAAUUCUCCGUGUAGCGGUGAAAUGCGUAGAUAUCGAGAGGAACACCGGUGACGAAGGUGGGUUGCUGGACCGACACUGACGCUGAGGCGCGAAAGCUAGGGGAGCAAACGGG